AACUCUUGCUUUCUCAAUCAAGUCUUAUCAUUUCAAUAGAUUUCAAUUGACUAAACAUGUUACUAAUGACUAUAUACUACAUUAAAGCACUCACACAUACCAAAAAUUCCAUAGUCCACAAGCUUGAGCAGUCCAUUAAUACAAUUAGAUUUAUUACAAUACAGAGGCAAUCCAGAGUAAGUUGAAAUCCAACAGCAGUAGAAAUAACAAAACCAAUGGACUCAAUGGGACUUGAAUAUAGUCAAAACAGGAGAUGUAAGCGACAAAACUACUCCAGCACACUCCAGGUGACCCAAACUGCUCAGAAAAUUCAAAAUCGACCCCAAAUCAAACUCAGCAAAUGCAAAACCCAACUGAGAUGUACCAGACUACUUCAACAUACCCAGACUCAACUAAAACUAGAAGAUAUGAAGGUGUUAGUUAAAAAUUAAACUCUGAGUCUGCCAUGGCUUAAUGAAACAGUAAGACAUUUUUUGUUUUUUUUUAAAUUUUUCCUUUGUUUUUUUGUUUUCGAAAUUUUUGAAGAAAACUAAGAUCUAGGAGAAUUUCAGAUCUGAGAUUUUUUAUUACAGACCUGGAGCUUGGAGAGUAAUUUUGGGGGAGAUUUUAGGCUGCAAAACUUGUGAAUCAAGUAAAUGGCAUGCCCUUUUAUAGGCAAAGAUAAGGGCAGCCCUUCAAUUUUCUGUUUUCACUUCAGUCCCUGCUCAUUUUCAUUUUAAUCCUCUUAUUUCUAACUUGUUACUCAAGUAAGUACCUCUCAUUCUGCUGGAAUCUACACUAAAAUCUAUUCUAGAAAGUCUUAGGGUGUUCUUUUAGCUACACAAAAUCUAUACUACCCUUUCUUAUAUUCUGAAAUUACUAUUGUUAUCAGAACUACCCUUUACCAUGCCUAAACUACCCAUAAAACUCCUCAAAAUUACUGACCCGACCAAACCCCCUUUUCCUUAGUUAAACUUUAACCAAGGUUAACUAAGCUAAUCUAAACUAACCAGCUAUAUCCAACACUAUUUCCAAAACUAAACGGAGACAUGAGUUGAAUCCAACUACUACUUAAAUAAACCUAGCUCAUACUAUUAUUAAUCAAACUAAUUCGACAUUAAACUAAACUAAUCUUACAAAACUGAAGAAGCCAAAGAACAUGAAAUAACGACUGGAUUAACUAACAAAGGAUUUCAACAAAAUCGAUUAAAAUUAAAAUACAAAAUCUGAUAAAGAGCUCACUUAUAUCAAAAUUGGAAAAACCAAAUUAAAGAGGGAAGGGCAGAAGAACGACUUCUUCGAAUAGAAAAAGAAAAGAAUGAGAGAAAUACCCAAGAGAUUGUCCGAGCAAUGAAGCUGUUCUUCGACCUUUGAUUUUAACCGAAAAGAGGCCUCAAUCACGUGUUCUCAGAUGAAAACACCUGACCAAGAUUCAUUUUGGUCUUAAUCAGCACUUCAUCUGCUAACUCUGAAAUUUUGUCGUUCUUAUAGCUCACUUUGAAAUCAAAUUUGACGAGCUCUGUUGAGUUUCGAGGGUAACAGGCUUUGGAUUUGGAGAGAUGGGAGCACGGCGAACAUGGGGUAUAAAUUUUGGGCCAUUUGGGCGGUGUCGCUACUGUAGGCGGCAGAGACGAUAACAACUCCGACCAUUCGAAGGUCUAUGGUUAGAUUUGAAAGGAAAUGAAGACAGAUUCAUGGAGAGGGCGUCGAAGUGGUACAGGGGUAUGAAUUUGAGAGACACCGGAGAAGGUAGCGAUUUCUCCGCCGGCGGCACUGGUUGCAGAGGAGAAAAGGUACGAGGAAGAUGUCAAGAUGAUAUGUUU
rnacentral:lncRNA from 1 species